UAAGGAAUAUUGGUCAAUGGACGCAAGUCUGAACCAGCCAUGCCGCGUGAAGGAUGAAGGUCCUCUGGAUUGUAGACUUCUUUUAUCUGGGACGAAAACGGGAUUUUUAUCUCAAUUGACGGUACCAGAGGAAUAAGCACCGGCUAACUCCGUGCCAGCAGCCGCGGUAAUACGGAGGGUGCGAGCGUUAUCCGGAUUUACUGGGUUUAAAGGGUGCGUAGGUGGGCUUAUAAGUCAGUGGUGAAAUCUCCGAGCUUAACUUGGAAACUGCCGUUGAUACUAUAGGUCUUGAAUUAUCUGGAGGUUAGCGGAAUAUGUCAUGUAGCGGUGAAAUGCUUAGAUAUGACAUAGAACACCAAUUGCGAAGGCAGCUUACUACAUAUAAAUUGACGCUGAGGCACGAAAGCGUGGGGAUCAAACA
rnacentral:rRNA from 1 species